GGCUUUCUCUUCCUACGGGAGGCAGCAGUGGGGAAUAUUGCACAAUGGGCGCAAGCUUGAUGCAGCAACGCCGCGUGAGGGAUGACGGCCUUCGGGUGGUAAACCUCUUUUAGCAGGGAAGAAGCGAAAGUGACGGUACCUGCAGAAAAAGCGCCGGCUAACUACGUGCCAGCAGCCGCGGUAAUACGUAGGGCGCAAGCGUUAUCCGGAAUUAUUGGGCGUAAAGAGCUUGUAGGCGGUUUGUCGCGUCUGCUGUGAAAUCCGGAGGCUCAACCUCCGGCCUGCAGUGGGUACGGGCAGACUAGAGUGCGGUAGGGGAGAUUGGAAUUCCUGGUGUAGCGGUGGAAUGCGCAGAUAUCAGGAGGAACACCGAUGGCGAAGGCAGAUCUCUGGGCCGUAACUGACGCUGAGGAGCGAAAGGGUGGGGAGCAAACAGGCUUAGAUACCCUGGUAGUCCACCCCGUAAACGUUGGGAACUAGUUGUGGGGUCCAUUCCACGGAUUCCGUGACGCAGCUAACGCAUUAAGUUCCCCGCCUGGGGAGUACGGCCGCAAGGCUAAAACUCAAAGGAAUUGACGGGGACCCGCACAAGCGGCGGAGCAUGCGGAUUAAUUUGAUGCAACGCGAAGAACCUUACCAAGGCUUGACAUAUACGAGAACGGGCCAGAAAUUGUCAACUAUAAU
rnacentral:rRNA from 1 species